GGAACAAAGGGAACUCGAUCUCAAUGAAAGGAAUAAGCUCGUGAGGGUUACGUUUGAGGAGAGGGUUUGUGGGAUCGUUGAAGCGAGAUCGUUGAAACGAGAUCGAUGGGCUAUUGUGAAUGUUAGAGAUUUGAGCCAGGUGGAACCGGUCUUUGGGUAGCUACAGAUGAGGAAGUCAUUGGGUCGCGCUUGGAAGAACUCUUGCGCGUAAAGGGAACCUUCAAGGAAAGGCUGUAUCCACCAAUGACCACCGUACCCAAUCAAGGGAGCUUUCGGCCUCCAGCCUUUCACGUGAGGCAACGUGGAGAUCAGGUCUUGGUACCGUUUCUGGUUCUUUUGGAACUCUGUUAACUCGGUCUCGUCAUGGUUUGGCACGGUAGUGUCGGUUACGGUUUCUGUUGCCAUUGGAGAUAGAGGAAGAAGAUUGGAGGACAUGUGUUUAUGAUUCUGGGUGAGAUGAUGAGAGAUGGUUGUUCGGACAAGAUCUGAUGAGAGCGGGCUUUUUACAUUAGAAGCAAUACGAUAGAGACAUUGACGUUGUUAAGAUUGUUCUUUUUGUCGUUGUAUUAAUCCUAAUUACUAUAUUUCAUUUUUAUAAUAAUACCUGUUUUCUUUAAAAUGGUAUAGAAAUAGACUGGCCACUAGCCAUAUGAUUCAUGUGCUUGUACCGAGGACCGGAUCUGGAUCUGGAUCUGAUUACGUGUAAUCCAUAUUGCGUGUAAUAAUGAAGAUAACUUGUUUACCCACGUGAAACAUUUAAAAGUGUAAAAUCGAUUCAGCAAAAAUAAACGGGCACACAAACUAAUUUCGAGAACUAAUAUUUCUUUAUUAAAAAUAUAUUUCAACCAAUCUUUUAUAGAUUUGGUUAAAUCCGAUUACACAUGUCUUACACAACUGAACACGGAUUGAACUUAUUUUAUCCACUUUGUUUGACUCAACAUCUGUUGAUCAAAUCUUUUAAGUGAGUCGGAAUCAGAUAUGAAACUUCGAAACCUUUUGUGUUUCCUAUGGAAAUUAUAUCAUUAAAAUCUCUAACUCUAAACUUAAGUAAAAACUAAUAUAUAUAUAUAUAUUAUUUCAUAUAUUUUAGCAUAACCAAAAUUUUCAAUUCGUGAUCUAACAAUAUUUGUUAAUGUUUAUUUCAUCAACCAAACAUACAAAAGUAUUCUACAUAAUUACAUAUGUCACACAUUAUUUUUUAGGUAUAACACAUGUACACGAACUAAAUCUCUACGAGUAACCUAUGAAACUUCAAUUUCUUGAGUUUAUAAUAAGUACGCUGAUUUGGCCACGAUGUAAAAUGGUGCCAUGGGUUACAGGUCCAUCAUGGAAGCGGAUAUUAAGCAUACAUGUUGCAGAUUCUUUGGGUGCUUACUUGACUCGACUAAACCAAGAAAAAGUAAGAGGAGAUAGAGAAACUUUCUUGUUUACGAUUUCAGUAUUGUUUUAAGAAAGAAAUUAGGAUCAGCCAGCUUUGAAUCCAACAAUCGACAAUAAAAUUAUGGGAUUAACUUGUAUUUUAUAUAUUUUUAAUUUUGACCUUUCAAGUGUAAUUUAAAAGUUAGAUAAAAAUAAUUUAUUAAAAGUGUUUCCCUGUUUGUUUGUUUUUCAUCUUCGUUUGUUGUUUCCUUGCUUUAAAUAAGCAUACAAGGAUCAGUCAUUUCCCCGAACAAGAACUAGUAGCUCAGUUACCAUUUUCAAGCAAACCAGUACCCUUGAAUUUCUCUUCCAUUAACCCAUCCAUACGAGCUGCCAUGUCCGGACUCAAAUAAUUCACCCAAUCUCCGGUCUUUCCUUUUCUGAAAAACGCGCGGUUUACAUUAGGAGAAGAAAUAUCUGCUCUCUCCUUAUCUCCUUUGUUAACUUCAAGAUUCUUCAACGUCUCAAAGCUGCAAAGGUUCACAACUUUCUCAACAACCCCAUUCUUCUCUUCCUCAGCUGUGAAUCUAUAACCCAUGAACUCAGCCAAUCUCUUCACAUAAGGCAAAGGAUCAGCACUCACAUUCUCGUACUUGAGGAACAAAGUCUUAUCCGGAUUCUCUUGGUGAGCUUUCCAAUAGCCUAACACAUGAUCAAGAUAAGGACCUUCCCCGGAAAUACCUCGGCAGAACAUAUCAAAACACUCCUCAAGACUAUUGAGCGGGCCACGUGUUGACCUUUGCUUUUGCAUGAAGUUCCAAAAGGAGACGAAAGUGUCCUUUGGGUCUCUCCAGAUGUAAACCAUCUUACAACCCGAUUUUACAACCGAAUCGGGUAAGAAAUCGUGUGGCAUAUGAGUUGCAAAGAGAGUGUUACCUUUGUCUUGGAGAACAUCAAUGUGAGGGAACAAAGGGAACUCGAUCUCAAUGAAAGGAAUAAGCUCGUGAGGGUUACGUUUGAGGAGAGGGUUUGUGGGAUCGUUGAAGCGAGAUCGAUUGGCUAUUGUGAAUGUUAGUGAUUUGAGCCAGGUGGAACCGGUCUUUGGGUAGCUACAGAUGAGGAAGUCAUUGGGUCGCGCUUGGAAGAACUCUUGCGCGUAAAGGGAACCUUCAAGGAAAGGCUGUAUCCACCAAUGACCACCGUACCCAAUCAAGGGAGCUUUCGGCCUCCAGCCUUU
rnacentral:lncRNA from 1 species